GAUGAGCGCUGGCGGCGUGCCUAAUACAUGCAAGUCGAGCGAACGGACGAGAAGCUUGCUUCUCUGAUGUUAGCGGCGGACGGGUGAGUAACACGUGGAUAACCUACCUAUAAGACUGGGAUAACUUCGGGAAACCGUAGCUAAUACCGGAUAAUAUUUUGAACCGCAUGGUUCAAAAGUGAAAGACGGUCUUGCUGUCACUUAUAGAUGGAUCCGCGCUGCAUUAGCUAGUUGGUAAGGUAACGGCUUACCAAGGCAACGAUGCAUAGCCGACCUGCGAGGGUGAUCGGCCACACUGGAACUGAGACACGGUCCAGACUCCUACGGGAGGCAGCAGUAGGGAAUCUUCCGCAAUGGGCGAAAGCCUGACGGAGCAACGCCGCGUGAGUGAUGAAGGUCUUCGGAUCGUAAAACUCUGUUAUUAGGGAAGAACAUAUGUGUAAGUAACUGUGCACAUCUUGACGGUACCUAAUCAGAAAGCCACGGCUAACUACGUG
rnacentral:rRNA from 1 species